CGAGUGUUUAGAGAUCCUAUGACCUCAACCUCCGAGACAAUCACCAUGUUUGCUGUGAAAGCAGUUUGCCUACUCGUCACCGUCGCUCUGCUUGUUGCAAUGGUGGCUGCGGACCCUCAGAGAGAGAACCGUUGUGACAAAAGACAUUUUUCAGGCCCCAUGUGUCACCCUUAGAAAAGGCGAAGAGAUGUCAAGCAUCCACUGAAGACUCUAAUCACUAAAACCCUAUGUAGUCAAAUUAAAUAAAGUAGUCAUGCAUACCUA